GCUGUGGUGGACUAGUGGUUAGAGCGCCCGCCUCGGAUGCGGGAGGUCGCGGGUUGAAUCCUAACCGAGUCAUACCA